CAGUUCGUGGUUUUAAUUUAGCAUCGGGUGUAUUACGUCCGGUAGUGAGGCGUCAUGAUAAAAUGAGGCUAGUGUUUGUCAAGACACUGUGGGAGGUGAGCAUUAAUCACGGUACUUCCACACACACACGCUAAGUUGCAGGUGUUAGCAGUGGACGGGUAGAGAGGGUUAUGUUCACUGCUGCAGGGACCAGUCAUGAUCAACUCUCCACUAACCGCUCUGGUGAUCUUUGUUGUGUCGACCACAGCUGUAUGCUCGGCAGACAAUAGUUGUCCUCUAUUCUCAGAUUUUACUUCUGGUAAUAACACUUACCAGCACAACUGCUCUGAGUUGUGUCUGGAUGAAUCACAAGAAAGCAACACUAAGCUCCAGGUGUAUGGAACUGAAUAUUAUUCUAAGACAUCUGAUGUUUGCCAGGCUGCCGUCCAUGCAGGCGCUGUUGGUCCACAGGGUGGGGAGGUCACCUUUACCCAAGACAAUACCAACCAUGACAGACGGGGCACUAUCAGAAAUCGCAUUAUUUCCAAGUCAUGGUUAAAUGAGGGAAUCAGCAAUCCUACAACUUUCAAGUUCUUAAAUUUUACUCCAGUCAUAGAUAAAGAAGACCUGGAUGGGGAUGUGGUGAUCAUUCAUGAUUCAUACAGUAAAUCUUGGACUGGGCGCAAGAUGAAUCUUGUCUGCCUUACUGACAAUACCACUAGAAUACUUGUUAAAACUGAUAUAACAAGUUGGAAAUAUAGAAAGUCUGAUGUUAAAGUUACUAUCUUAAGAUCUGCGCAACAGGGUGCUUCCCUGUCUGCAAGAAAAUCACAAAAUAUUCGAGCUGUCAGAUGCCUUGGAAGAACUGCAGCUACAGAUGUCCUGACUGUCAUACAAGCUAAAUACCAAACUUAUGUGGCAGAUACAAGCACCAUCCGUGCCAGCCGUGGAGACUACUUACAAGUCCCCAUCAAGAAAGUGGACAAAAACUCUCUCGACAAGGUGUUUCUCCGCAGACUUCCAGAUGAUUGGUCCCAUAAUAAUGACAGUUAUGGCAAUUACUCGUUACCACUGAUCUUUAAUAGAGUGUUGCCUGGCGAUGCUGGCAUAUACAUUGUAGGCAAUUGCCAAGAAUGUGCAUCUAACCCAAAACAGUUUAAAGAAAUGAAGGAUCUCUAUACUGAUAGUGCAUAUUUUCAUCUGAUUGUUCGUGAUUGUGAGUCUGAAUAUUAUGGGGCCAACUGUCAGUCUCGGUGUCCAGAUUGUGAGAAUGGUGGCAUAUGUCAUGCAGUGACUGGAUCCUGUGUGUGUCCUCCAGGCUUCCAUGGCCCUACUUGCCAGAAAGCUUGUGGCCAUGACUUGUUUGGGAGUCGAUGUCAAUUGCAUUGUAACAAGAUCACCCUUGGAUUUAGUCCUGAAAGCGAGGAACACUGUCUGGGCUUGAGGAUCUGUGUACCAGAACCUUAUGGCUGUUCCUGUGCUCCAGGAUAUAUGGGUCCCUUCUGUGAUAAGAAAUGUACAGAGGGAAGGUAUGGUGCUGAUUGCUCCCAGGGUUGCGAGUACUGCAGUGACAACCUCUGUGACAAAACCAGUGGUAAAUGCUCAAGUGGUUGCUUAAUGGAUAUUCCUUGUGCAGAUGGAAUGCCACUGGACCUUCCUCGCCUACGAACUCCUCCUAAUGUUUCUGAUAUUAAAAAAAAUUCACUUGUUGUGAAAUUUUCUCCUUGGAGCAAUGAAGAAGAUGAUGGGUCUGAUGAAUUCAACAUUUCUAGUUAUAAGCUUCAGCAUCUUAGAGAAGAUAACAACACCUGGGUGGAUGUGAAGGACUACUUCCCUGACAUUGUGUCAGGUCAAGUUACAGAGAAAAUAGAAGGCCUUGACCCUGGGUUCCAGUAUGUGUUCCGGGUGUUGGUGAUGACACCCCAGGGUGCUGUGGAUGGCUCAACCAACAAGAGAGUUCACAAUGUGUCUGUCACGACUAAAUGUUAUGAGCCAACACUGUAUCUGCUUAAUGUGUCAGAGGUCACCAAUCAGUCUGCUGUUAUAAACUGGGAAACUCCUGGGAAUCAUGCUCGAUGUGGAAUGCAGUACGACAUUCAGCUAAUGACUGGUAGCCGAGAAGAAUUUAUUCACCAACAUACAACAUCAAACUCGUCAUACCACCUAAGGACUUUAAAGUCCAAUACGAGUUAUGUUGUUAACAUCACUGCCAGGAAUAAUAAAUCUGAAGUGUCCUUGUCUGUACAGUUCAUCACUCUUCCUAAUGCACCAUACAGGCCAAUUGUCACAGUGAUGCCCAGUGGGGUGGGGAACCUUGGUGUAUCUUGGAAGUUGCCGCCAGAAUCCAGUAGUGUAGACUCUUAUAAUGUAAUGUACAAGUUGUUGCAGUACAAGGCAUGCAACAGAACAGUGGAUCCUCCACAGGAUGUUAUCCAAGAAAAGACAUCUAACAAUAUUAUUGAACUGCAGGAUUUAAAGAGUUAUGCCACAUAUGAAGUAUGUGUGGUGGCUGAGAACGAGGGUGGAGAAAGCCCAUCAGGGUGUUCAUCAAAUGAUACAUUGCCUAACUCUCCCAGUGUUGAUGUGGAAAAUUUUACUUGCACACCCAAGAAUCUCAGUGGAGUUUCCUGCAUAGCUAACUUAAGUAGUGGCUGUGAAGCAUAUAAUGGAGCAAAUACCACCAUUGAAGUUCAACUGCUUGCUUUUCUGGAAUGUGAGAAUGAAAAUAUCAUGUUUAAUAAAUCAAUAGACAUAAUAGAUAAGAAGAUUUCGGUUGAAUUCUCUGAGAAGUUGGUGGCUGCCAUGAUAUACAAAGCAUCACUAUCCAUUAUUAACCAUGUUGGGAAAGGCAUGACAGAAAACACUACCUUUAAAACUGUAGAAGCAUCACCCCCAGCUGUAAGAAACUUGUCUGCAAAUGCUUCUUCGAGUAAAGUUCGUCUAUUGUGGAAUGAUCCCUGUCCAACAAAUGGAAAUAUCACCCAACUUUGCUACAGGAAUGUGAAUUCUACAAGUGUAGAUACUUGCACAAAUGCUGUGAAAUGCGAGAUUGUUACAAACUAUGAACGCUGUGUUGAUAUUGCUGAGUUAGACCCUCAAAAAUACUACACAUUCAUGGUGGCUGCUGUGAACAGUGCUGGGAAAGGCAUCUUUAGUGAGCUUCAAGUUUUAACUCUUGUGACAAUUCCAGGACAACCAGAAAAACUUAAUGCUACUCGACUUUCCACAAGCUUAGAACUUGUCCUCUCGCAGCCGGUGAACCCUGGAGGCACUAGGCUUAAUUGCACAUUGCUGUUGAAGAAGAGGACCCAGAUAAUAAAACAAUGUACAGCAACUGUGGAAUCUGAAACUCGUAACCCAUUUAUUUGUAAGCUUGAUGAAUUGAAGCAAGGCACACGGUUUACAGCAGAGAGUGUGUGCUGUAAUUCUGCUGGAUGUAGUGAACCCUUAAACAGUGUUGUAGCCACUCUACCACUUUCACCUAAGCUUGAAGGGAAACUGAAAGUUGAAGAUAUGGAUGCCACCAGUGUUACUCUAAGUUUGCCCAAAGUUGUGAUGGAAGGCGACGGUGUCAGAUCUCUAGCAGUUUUAGUACAGCAGCUCAACAAGGAAAAACUGGAAAUGGCAUUUGACAGCUUUACAACUAAAUAUUUAAAUUUAAAACUUCUUGGCAAACAUGUGCAGGAAGAGAGUGUUGGAAGAUACAUUUCAAGUGAGAUGCGGUACAAGCGCCAAGCAGGUGACCAUCAUUGCACCGAUCUCUAUAUAGCUGCUGUAAUAAACUUGACGAGAGAGGGACUAAAUCAUGAAAUUCAUUUUGUGGUCGGUGAUGGUGAGACUUACGAAACAUAUCAAAAUUGUCCUCUGAAGACCAGUGAAACUUACAUGUUGGCCAUUGUUGCUGAAGUGAAUCUUGAAGGAGAAAGUAAAUAUGCAGAGAUGAGGCUGAAUGAACCUGUAGUUGUGGGUGUUGGUGGUCAUGGACUUGUCAUCACUCUGUCCAUCCUUGGUGGACUCCUUCUCCUUUUCAUCCUAGCGGUCAUUUACUAUACUCAACGUUGGAAGUCAAAAAACAGCAAUGGAGUAGAGCACUCAAAAGGUAAUGGAACAGUUGAUAGCUCAAGGAUUCCAAUGGACCAUUUCAACCAAUCCAUUCCAAACACCCUCACCACCCCAGCCACACCCCUGAGUGGUCCAGCAGCAGCAGAUGAAAAUAUCUAUGAAAACAUCUACACCAAGGAGGAUAACUAUAGAAAAUUUAAUAGGCGUGUUCCACGUCAAGAUGUUGAAGCCUAUUUGAAUAAAUCCAUUGGUUCUCAAGACACAAUGGAGGAAUUUAGGAGUGUCCCAUCCAAUAUUGGCAAGCCUAUGUUGGAUGGUCAGUGUCCAGAAAACAAGAAAAAGAAUCGCUAUAGCAACAACCUCCCUUAUGAUGAGACUCGUGUCAAGUUGUCAGUUAUCCAUGAUGACCCAAAUACAAAUUACAUCAAUGCAAAUCAUGUCUAUGGUUUUGGUGGACUUCUUAAGUACAUUGCUUCACAAGGACCCAAGGAUAAAAAUUUGAACACCAUUGGUGACUUCUGGCGGAUGAUUUGUGAGCAGCACAUUACAGUCAUUAUUAUGGUCGCUAAUUUUGUGGAAGGGGGAAAGAAAAAAGUGGGUGAAUACAUAAGUUUUGGGAGCAACCUUGUUGUGGAGGAUUACACUGUGGAGGUUGUCAACACAGACCAUCACUCUCAUUAUAAUGUUUCUCUUGUUCAGGUAUGGAAACAUGGUAUUGCUCACACAGUCAUACAUUACCACUAUACCAAUUGGCCUGACCAUGGGGUGCCCAGUGAGGCCCACAGUCUGGGCACUAUGCUGCGUCAAAUCAUCCAUACUCAUAUGGAGGGUGGUAUGGUUGUCCACUGCUCUGCAGGCAUUGGACGAACAGGUACUGUGCUGCAAGUGUUGUUACUUCAUGAGAUGUUGAUGGUACAAGGUAGCAUGGACCCAUUAGAAGUCCUGCAGCGACUUCGUGAAUGCCGAGCCCGAUUAGUUGAGAAUGUAGCACAGUACAACCUAAGUCUUCAGAUAUUUGAUGAAGUUAUGUAUGGAAGCAACACUUCCAUCGUUUCAAUUAAUUUUCCACAGCAAUUGGAAGAUUGUUUGAAGAAGAAUCAUAACCUAUAUCAAAGGGCUAAGGCUCUUCCUUCUGGCCUCACAUUUGGAGCCACAUCACAAGCUGAAUAUCAUUACCUGAACCGGAAUCCUACUAUUUUACCAUCAGUCUCUCAAAGAAUUUUCUUGAGCAUGGAAAAUGGGGAGACACUUUCCCAGUACAUUAAUGCUAUAAGAGUAAAUGGACUUGAUCAUCCCAAUGAAAUGGUGGUGACUGAACAUCCACUACCAACCACUCUGACCAAGUUCUGGAGACUUGUGGUUGAGAAGAAGUGCAUGAGUGUUGUCCUCAUCAACACAUUCAAUGACUGUGAAGAGGAUAUAUUUCCAUCAUUGUUACCAAGACAUGAUACUGAUCUGGUCCUCGGCAACUACACUAUCCGCACACUGCAUGUUGCUAACCACAGUUCCUUCAUCCAGUACUCUAUUGAAGUAUUCUCCAAACAGUUGUGACUUCCUGACAUCCGCAGCUGAGGAGCUUUGAAAUCUGACAACCACAACAUCACUAGUGUGUAGUGAUGAUGAGAGUGUUGGUGGUGAUGGCCAGUGUUGGUGAUGAAGAGAGACCCACGUGGUCACUUUUGGCUUUGUCUAAAACAGACCAAGUCCAUUAUUAUUCUGGAUCUGGAAAAACAGACUGGCCCUCCUCCCAAUAAGUCUGAUAUAUCUGAGGUUUACUGAUAUUCAGGAGGCAGUCACAGUGUAUCAGAUCACCUCAUGGCCAUAUGGCAGUGAAGUGCCAUCCUCUCCUGAUGCACUAAUAGGUGUUUCUGAAAUACUGCUGCAGGCUCAUCACCACGAU
rnacentral:misc_RNA from 1 species